AACUUUCAACAAUGGAUCUCUUGGCUCUCGCAACGAUGAAGAACGCAGCGAAAUGCGAUAAGUAAUGUGUAUUGCAGAUUUUCAGUGAAUCAUCGAAUCUUUGAACGUACCUUGCGCUACUUGGUAUUCCGAGGUGCAUGCCUGUUUGAGUGUCAUUAAAUUCUCAACUCCGAUCGAUUUGUUUCGACCUCGGAGCUUGGACUUUGGAGCGUGCUGGCGUCGGUCGGCUCCUCUCAAAUGCAUCAGCGGAAUCUAACGUUUCGGAUGUCAGUGUGAUAAUCACGUUGCGCUGUCAACCGAUCCCGAAAGGCCCGCUCAUAAUGGUCUUCGGACAACUUUCAUAUCAAAUUUGACCUCAAAUCAGGUAGGACUACCCGCUGAACUUAAGCAUAUCAAUAAGCGGAGGCU
rnacentral:misc_RNA from 1 species